rnacentral:rRNA from 1 species
AGAGUUUGAUCAUGGCUCAGGACGAACGCUGGCGGCGUGCUUAACACAUGCAAGUCGAACGGAAAGGCCCUGCUUUUGUGGGGUGCUCGAGUGGCGAACGGGUGAGUAACACGUGAGUAACCUGCCCUUGACUUUGGGAUAACUUCAGGAAACUGGGGCUAAUACCGGAUAGGAGCUCCUGCUGCAUGGUGGGGGUUGGAAAGUUUCGGCGGUUGGGGAUGGACUCGCGGCUUAUCAGCUUGUUGGUGGGGUAGUGGCUUACCAAGGCUUUGACGGGUAGCCGGCCUGAGAGGGUGACCGGCCACAUUGGGACUGAGAUACGGCCCAGACUCCUACGGGAGGCAGCAGUGGGGAAUAUUGCACAAUGGGCGGAAGCCUGAUGCAGCAACGCCGCGUGCGGGAUGACGGCCUUCGGGUUGUAAACCGCUUUCGCCUGUGACGAAGCGUGAGUGACGGUAA